UGCCCCCCCCCCCGCCCCCCUCCAUCCUCUCCUCCCGCUGCAUCCUCUCAUCCUGCAGACACACACACACACACACACACACACACACACCGACAGAUACACCGAGCUCCUCGUGCUGCAGUCAUGUCGGUGUCUCCCGCCCUCGCCGACCUGUCUCGCCUCUACCAGACAGAGUUUGUCCGCAGUGCCCGGGCGGUCGGUGUCCUCUGGGCCGUCUGUUCGCUCUGCUUCGCCAUCAUCCAGGUGGUGGUCCUGGUGCAGCCGUCCUGGAUCGGCACCGCAGACACCCGCCACCAGGGGGCGGGACCGGCCCCGCCCAGCGGCACCCUGGGUCUGUUUGAGGUGUGUGUGGAGUCGGACUGGCCGGUGCCGGACUGUCGCGGCGGUCUGUCCAGUCUGUCUCCUCUGCCGUCCUUCCAGUCGGUGGCAGUGUUGGUGGGAGUGUCUCUGUGGGCGGUUUGGACCAGUGUCCUCUGUCUCUGUCUCUUCAGGUUCUGCAGCGCUGCGACCGUCUACAAGAUCUGUGCGUGGCUGCAGCUCACUGCAGGUUUCUGUCUCGCGCUGGCCUGUCUUCUGUUUCCGGACUCGUGGGAGAGUCCAGAGAUGAGAACUCUGUGUGGAGAGUCUGUGGGCAGUUUCUCUCCAGGUAACUGUUCCGUGCACUGGGCCUACAUCCUGGCCAUCCUGGGGGUCCUAGACGCUGCCAUCUUGGCUACAUUGGCGUUCGUCCUCGCCAACAGACAGGACGCCCUGCUGCCGCCAGACGCCAAAGAGGUGACCACAGGCCUGCUGCUGUCGGCAUAGAGACACCAGCAUCACCAGAGGAGGAGGAACAUCAACUGAAGCAGGAGAAGCAGCCUUCCUCCUCCUCUCUUUUCAUCAUCACCUGGUCUCCGGGCAACCGUAUUCACCUUAAUGUUGUCACAGUGAGGAGGAAGAGGAUGAAGAGCAGCAGGAAGAAUGAGGAAAGAAAAGCAAGAGACAGUGAAGCUCAGAGCGCGUUGGAUCACCUCAGACAUGUCGACAUGUUUAUCAGCUCUGCAUUAAGAAACAGACUGCUGUCUGUUUCAUUUUGUCCCUCUGUGCUGGUCUGUGCUGGUCUGUGCAGGUCUGUGCAGGUCUGUGCUGGUCUGUGCUGGUCUGUGCUGGUCUGUGCUGGUCUGUGCAGGUCUGUGCUGGUCUGUGCUGGUCUGUGCAGGUCUGUGCUGGUCUGUGCUGGUCUGUGCAGGUCUACACAGGUCACAGUCUCUCUGCAGCUCCAGCACUGUAACAUAGUGAGGUUCUGUCAUAUGACUGGACUGGUCCUUACUGUGCUGUUUGUUUGUUGGAAAGAAAUUUUCUAGUUGGUUGUCUUCUCAGCGUUACAUGUGUUAGUCUCAUCUCUGUGUUUAGCCUAGCUUAGCACAAAGAGAUCAUCAGCCAGGCUGAAAACCUGUCUGAUCACAUGUCAUAUUGUGUUGGCUACGCUCAGUUAGCUCAGAGUUAGUCUCAAGUCCAGUUUGCUUCUGUGACAUUUGAUGUUUAGGUCUAGAAUUCCUUUUAGAGCUAAUUAGCAUCUGGAUCAGGUUCGCUCAGCUUCAGGUAGCACCUGGGUCCAGUUAUCUUCAAGUCUAGUUAUACUAGAAUUAGUUUGAGGUGUAGCUCAGAUUUAGCGGGUAGGUACUCGCAGAGUUAGCUUCAGGUCAAGUCUGCUAAAAGUUAGCUUAGGUGUAGUUAUCUCACAGUAUGCUUGAGUGUUAGUAGCUUAUAAGUAUCAGAUUAGCUUAUGUAUAGCUUCUAAAAUGGACUAUCUUAGAAUUAGCUUUCCAGUGAAGUUAGAACCCAGCUGACAACAGAAUGGAUAUACCAGUUAGCUAGCCUUGUGCUAAGCUAGGAAAAACACAGCAAAUGUCAAGUUAAGAAAACAGACAAUGUUCUGAUGUCAUCAGUGUAAAAGUACAUUAGUGAUUCUGAUUCUGAUCAGCUGCAGAACAAGAGGAUCCAGCUGAACUCAGUUUCCUGUCAGCAUGACCUUUGACCUCUGACCGCCUUUCAUCAACAUCCUAACAUCACUGUCCAGUUCAAACCACAUAUCUCCAAAUAUGAUUCAAUGAGACAGUCAGAGACAGAGUAGGUCAUGUGACCAGGUGACCUCACCUGCUCAUGGUGAAACUGAUGAGUGUGGCCAGGUGAGCUAUUUACCUGCUCAUAGAUGUACCUGGUACAGCUAUGUGUUUAAACAGCUCGUUAUGUCAUGUAAUCAGAUUACCUUCAUUUACCUGAUGAAGUUACCUGACCAGGUGAGUCCUGUGUGUCAGCAGCUGAAGGUUGUGUAGAGGCUGUCAGGUUUGGGGCAUCAAUUGUAAAGUUGGCCACACUAAAAUAAACAGCAACUUUUUGCCAUGUUUAGCAACAAAACACAUUUAAAAAAUGUUUUUGAUUGUUUUCAUGUUACUGUUGAUAAGAUUUACAGCAAUAUUUGUGAGAUUUGUGAAAUGUACUUUUCUUGUAAAAAAUAUGAUGUCAAUGUUAAAUCUAAAUCUCCUGCUCAGUUUGUGUGUGAAUGAUUUCUUUUGUUCUCUUUUGGGCUGCUUGCUGUGUGAUCGCACCUGCAGCUCAUCAUCCUGCAACCAACUCGCCUACAUGUACUCGGACCGACCUUCCAGACCCCGCCUGACCGUUGAAUCAGUUUGUGCAAGAAACGCCAGCCUGAACUAACACUCUGAACUAACACUUGUGUUAAUUAUCUUGCUAAAUCUUGUUCUCCCUGUUUCACCUCAGACCACCAGUCCUGAGCCUGGACCCGGUCCGCCAGCCAGCACAGCUGACCUUGAGCCCUGGAGCCUGAACACCACCUCCACUCGCAGACGCCACGAAAACACCGGUCACGCCAACCUCAACCAGUUUUUGUGCUUUUCUCAAUAAAUUCUCUUGUGUUCAAAACAUCAACCCUAGUCUGCGUUUGAGUCCUGGAGUCCUUGGACCCGGGUUCGACUCCCGGCCCGGGUCCCCCUGCUGUGCGUCACUCCCCCUCCUACCCUGUUUCCUGUCACACUCUUCAGCUGCCCUGUCAAUAACGCCAGAAAAAGGUGUAUAUAUACAUAUAUAUAGGCUCUGUGGUGGAUGCUGUACCUGUCAGUGGAGAUCUCUCCGUCUGGCUACCUGAAAAAAACUGCCGACAGGGCUUCCUCGCACAAUGUCCUUUUGUUUUGGUACUUCGGAUGACAGUGUGAAUUUGCAUAUUAGCUAAAUAUUUUGUUUCACCUGUGACACUUAGAUUUACAAUUUAGAUUUAGAUUUAACAUUUAGAUUUAGAUUUAACAUUUAAAUUUGUCAUUGAGAUUUAGCAUUUAAUACUUAGUUUAGAUUUAACAUUUAGUUUAAAUUUAAGUUUUAGAAAUAUUCACAAAUAUUGCUGUAAAUCUGGUCAAAAGUAAAUGUGGUUUGUUGCUGUUUAUUUUAGCAUGCGCAACUUUACAGUCGGCGCCCCGUCAUCAGGAGCUUCACAUCCCGUCCACAGCAGAUUCAACAGCCAAUUCUGUCGUUCUACACGUCUGAAUGAUCAAAUUGAUCUGCUCAUCGUCUGCAGAUCAGAAGCUUCUCAUCAUAAAUGAAAGACGGCAGACGGAGGUGAUAUAGACUUUAAUUUAGAGUGAGACAGAAAUAAAGACACACUGACAGAGCUGCUGCACACAAGCUGAACCACAUGAACACAACAGGAACGAGCCAAUCACAGAGCUGAUGAGCUGUUGCCAAGGUUACUGUCUGUCCGUCUGUCUUUUCCAGAGACGCAUUCACACUGACUGACGGACAGAGGGAGGGAGGAGUCAGUGCAGAGGGAGGAGUCAGUACAGAGGGAGGAGUCAAUGCAGGGGGAGGAGUCAGUGUGGAGGGAGGGGUCAGUGCGGAGGGAGGGGUCAGUGUGAAGCUGCUUUUGAUAAUAAACCUUUAACAUUUUGACUUCAAGUCCCAGAAGCCAUCACUGUCCCAAACAACCAAUCAGAGAGCUCCAGACUCUGUUGCCGGGUAGCUUUCAGCUGGGUGAAGUUACAGGUUGAUCUUUAAGAACUGAAUCAAAAGGGAACUAAAGCACUGCUAAGGAUUGUGGGUACUGUGGUGUUGGAGACACACACUCAGUUUACAGAAUUAAUAUUCAUAAAUAUUAUUUGUUAUGAUGAAUAAUAAUUUAAUACUCAGAUACAUUAUGUUGUUCUGUCCAGGAAAUGUGAAGGUUUUCGUAGACUGAAGUGUCUCUUCAUCACGUCUUCAUCACGUCUUCACGUCUUUUCAGCAACAAAGGACUGAGCAGAAGCAUUUUCACCAAAA